AAAUAAAGUGUUAAACUUCUUGGAAAUGACAACUGCUAAGCCAUAAUUAUAUGUACCUUUCUCGUGAAACGAGAAGCCUUAUUCAAGCCAAAAUAAAAAGAAUAAAGAAUAAUUAAUAAGAUGAAAGAGUGCAACAUCCUUUCAAAUAGUGCAACAAGCUCUUCAAAAUAGUACAAUAUCUGUAUAAAUAAUGCAACAUAUGCAUUGUUAAUAAAUAUUUUGUAUGAUUUUUACACUAAAUUACGCACGGUUUAGUAUAUUACGCGAAAAUAAUAUAUUAUAUUACAACAUACUAUAAAAAUUAUACAAUAUAUGUACAAACGGUGCAUAUUUUACACUAUUUAUAU
rnacentral:lncRNA from 1 species